rnacentral:rRNA from 1 species
AACGAACGCUGGCGGCAUGCCUAACACAUGCAAGUCGAACGAGACCUUCGGGUCUAGUGGCGCACGGGUGCGUAACGCGUGGGAACCUGCCCUUAGGUUCGGAAUAACUCCCCGAAAGGGGUGCUAAUACCGGAUAAUGUCUUCGGACCAAAGAUUUAUCGCCUUUGGAUGGGCCCGCGUUGGAUUAGCUAGUUGGUAGGGUAAAAGCCUACCAAGGCGACGAUCCAUAGCUGGUCUGAGAGGAUGAUCAGCCACACGGGGACUGAGACACGGCCCAGACUCCUACGGGAGGCAGCAGUGGGGAAUAUUGGACGAUGGGCGAAAGCCUGAUCCAGCAAUGCCGCGUGAGUGAUGAAGGCCUUAGGGUUGUAAAGCUCUUUUACCCGGGAUGAUAAUGACAGUACCGGGAGAAUAAGCUCCGGCUAACUCCGUG